UACGAAGGGGGCUAGCGUUGCUCGGAAUUACUGGGCGUAAAGCGCACGUAGGCGGCUCUUUAAGUCGGGGGUGAAAUCCUGGAGCUCAACUCCAGAACUGCCUUCGAUACUGAAGAGCUCGAGUCCGGGAGAGGUGAGUGGAACUGCGAGUGUAGAGGUGAAAUUCGUAGAUAUUCGCAAGAACACCAGUGGCGAAGGCGGCUCACUGGACAAGUAUUGACGCUGAGGUGCGAAAGCGUGGGGAGCAAACAGG
rnacentral:rRNA from 1 species